GUAUUCUUUAAGAAGAGGAGGAAGAAGAAAAAGGAUUUUCACUGUUGCUAUGCUACAGUCCCAUGUGGUCCACCUUGAAGGCCUAACUUCUCUAAGAUUUCUUGUAUUCUCUUUCAAUCCAGUCUCUAUUCUGCAUCACCUGAUGAAACAAAAUAACUCCAGGCCACAGUAAAAUAAACUCAAUCAUGUAAAAUGUA